rnacentral:snRNA from 1 species
AAAGACUGUCUAUCAAAACAUAG